rnacentral:misc_RNA from 1 species
GCUUUUCAAGUGUAAAUUGUAAUCUAUGAAGUCAAAAUAAAGCCUCGUAUUCUCAUUAUCUGUGAUAAGUAUAAACAUUAUAUCCGAGCAGUUCGCAUUAAUCAGAAACUAUGGCAAUUAGAAAAAUAAUUGAAGGCCACAUUAACACCAAGUUCUCUCUUGUUUGUCUUCACAGUUUAUCUGCAGCAUCGUUUACAAAAAUUUAGCCACCUCCGGAUUUGAGUGUAUUACUCAACCAGUCCAAGCCCUCAAAGA